rnacentral:lncRNA from 1 species
GUUGGGAUCCAGGCAUCUCGUCGUCGGUAGGGAGCUGGGUCCCAGACUUGCAGGAGGCAAGGGCAAAGAGAGGAGAAGAGGAACCAGAGCAGGGGUCGGGACUGGAAAACAGCUGCAUCACAGCUGGCCUGCCCCCAGGUUCCACCUUAUCUCUGUUCGGGAGGCUGCCCUGCCGGCCUAGAUUUGACAGCCUGCGGGCUGAGGGUGUAUGUGGUGGUUCUGCCUGAGCCCCUGGGCCCAGAGCCUGUAGGAAGGUUAUAGAUUUGAUUUGUAACUAGAGUCACUCUCUAGUUUGUGGAGCUUGGGGACAUUCCCAGGGUGCAGGGUAUAGAUACAGCGUCACUUGGAGGGGGGGUCCUUAAGGAUACUGGGGUCAGAUGAUAUCCUUCUUAUCUGGCUGGAGGGUCCAGAGUGGGGCCCUGUCUCCUGAAAACCCCCAUCCCAUAUCAAAAAAUAAACCUCAACCAGGGUUGCAUUCCAGGAGUCUGCUGUCUCACCUGCAGCUCUCCCUGGUCUCACUUUUGAGGCAGAAAGGGGCGGCUGGGAAGCUGGGCCUCUUGACCUUUACCCCCUGCUCUCUGCUGUGUUCUUCUAAAGGGCCUGAGUGGACAGGGCGUUCUGUUUCCUCUUUAACCUUCUUCUUGACUGAACCUCAGUUUCUCUUGUCUGUCUCUAAAACCCAUAUGUCUUAGUUGGAUCGCUAGGGUCACUCGUGAGGAGGACCGUGAGGAGGACCGGCUGGGAUGGGUGAGUUCUGAGGCCAGGGAGACCAAGCGCUCUCCCGCAUCUAGUUAUUGAUGAUGAGCUCUACUCCCAGAGCUAGGAAGGAGCCAGCUA